GUCAGUCUGCAAUCGCGGUACUUUGAUUCCCGCAAUGCUUGAGCUCUACAAUAAACACGUGUGCGGUGAGUUGUUCUGCCCUAAUUGCUCAAUGAAUUUGAACAUUUUGAGUUUCCAAAGAUCAUAUACGUCGGUUCGCGCCCGUUCACCUUUUGCUACAUGAUAUGAGAUGAAGUACAAGAAGUAUCUCUUGGAGAACAAAGACAUUCCACGAACAACACAGCAUCGCUGGAGAAGACGAACCCACCAUGUUGGAGUCCGUGUACCUCAAAAUGCUGUCUUUGAUGUGUUACAGCAAGACCCAGCUUUGUUUGACAUGCAUAUCAAGC